CCACCACACGAUUAUAAAGUACAGUUUGAAAGCUUGGGAUUUAUGUAUGUGUUGAUGAUGAGAACGGGCAAUAACACAUCCACUACUAAUGAUGUUGUUGCUACACUCUUCAGAGAGAGACAGGGAAACACCUCAAAGCUUAUAUGUCUCCUUUGCCAAAAGCAAUUGGAACUUUAAUUUCCCAACAUUUUUGGGUAAUGAGACAUUAAAAACAUGGCACAUUAUUGUCCAAUCCUUUUAGUGACCCUAUAGUAUGAGGAGAACAACUAAGUUACUAUGCAAUGGUUUAUCCCUGCCACGUUGCACAAUGAUGUUGAUUAAUAAAAAAGAGGGACAAAAUAUUAUUCAUUAUGAUUCCAUGCUAUAUCAUGGCAUUAUCGCCUCUCAUGUUCUCAAACAUAAUGAAACAUUUAUAUGCCAAAGAACUUGGAGCAGACGUGUGGAUAACAUUAUAUUUUGCUUUUCAAAGGAAACAAUCAUUAACUUGUGGAUAUAAGAUUAUCAUGACAAGGGUUAAAAACUUGAAAUGCUAUUGCAUCUUGUAUGACCCAUGUGGAUACUACAAAAUAUAAUGUCAAUUAUGAAUCACUACCACUCUUUCUAUGGGCAUUCCUAACCUUUUCUUCUUCUUCAAUCUUCAAUGGGAUUUGUAAUUGAAGCAUGAAAGUAACAACGAAACAGAGACACACACACAACACACUAGUGAGAUAGCCUCUGUUGUGUACUGCGUGUAAUUGCGUUGCUACUUGCUAGUGAGGUAGCUCACAUCGGGGUGGAGUAGUGAACAAGAACCACAGGCUUUGAUAUAAAAAAAGC
rnacentral:lncRNA from 1 species